rnacentral:rRNA from 1 species
GUGCCAGCCGCCGCGGUAAUACGUAGGGGGCAAGCGUUAUCCGGAUUUAUUGGGCGUAAAGCGCGCGUAGGCGGCUUGUUAAGUCGGAUGUGAAAACCGGGGGCUCAACCCGCGGACUGCAUCUGAAACUGGCAGGCUUGAGUCUGGUAGAGGAGUGUGGAAUUCCUAGUGUAGCGGUGAAAUGCGCAGAUAUUAGGAGGAACACCAGUGGCGAAGGCGGCACUCUGGGCCACGACUGACGCUGAGGUGCGAAAGCUAGGGGAGCAAACAGGAUUAGAAACCCCUGUAGUCC